rnacentral:rRNA from 1 species
ACGGGACCCUUCGGGGUUUAGUGGCGGACGGGUGAGUAACGCGUGAGGAUCUGCCCUCAGGAUGGGGACAACAGCUGGAAACGGCUGCUAAGACCCGAUGUGCCGAGAGGUGAAAUAUUAAUAGCCUGAGGAUGAGCUCGCGUCUGAUUAGCUAGUUGGAGUGGUAACGGCACACCAAGGCGACGAUCAGUAGCUGGUCUGAGAGGAUGAUCAGCCACACUGGGACUGAGACACGGCCCAGACUCCUACGGGAGGCAGCAGUGGGGAAUUUUCCGCAAUGGGCGCAAGCCUGACGGAGCAAGACCGCGUGGGGGACGAAGGUUUGUGGAUUGUAAACCCCUUUUGUCAGGGAAGAACACAAUGACGGUACCUGACGAAUCAGCCUCGGCUAACUCCGUGCCAGCAGCCGCGGUAAUACGGAGGAGGCAAGCGUUAUCCGGAAUUAUUGGGCGUAAAGCGUCCGCAGGUGGUUGAGUAAGUCUGCUGUCAAAGUGCGAGGCUUAACUUCGUAAAGGCGGUGGAAACUGCUCGACUAGAGUGCGGUAGGGGUAGAGGGAAUUCCCAGUGUAGCGGUGAAAUGCGUAGAUAUUGGGAAGAACACCGGUGGCGAAGGCGCUCUACUGGACCUGCACUGACACUGAGGGACGAAAGCUAGGGGAGCGAAAGGGAUUAGAUACCCCUGUAGUCCUAGCCGUAAACGAUGGAUACUAGGUGUUGCCCGUAUCGACCCGAGCCGUGCCGAAGC